GAUGAACGCUGGCGGCGUGCCUAAUACAUGCAAGUCGAGCGAACGGACGAGAAGCUUGCUUUUCUGAUGUUAGCGGCGGACGGGUGAGUAACACGUGGAUAACCUACCUAUAAGACUGGGAUAACUUCGGGAAACCGGAGCUAAUACCGGAUAAUAUUUUGAACCGCAUGGUUCAAAAGUGAAAGACGGUCUUGCUGUCACUUAUAGAUGGAUCCGCGCUGCAUUAGCUAGUUGGUAAGGUAACGGCUUACCAAGGCAACGAUGCAUAGCCGACCUGAGAGGGUGAUCGGCCACACUGGAACUGAGACACGGUCCAGACUCCUACGGGAGGCAGCAGUAGGGAAUCUUCCGCAAUGGGCGAAAGCCUGACGGAGCAACGCCGCGUGAGUCAUGAAGGUCUUCGGAUCGUAAAACUCUGUUAUUAGGGAAGAACAUAUGUGUAAGUAACUGUGCACAUCUUGACGGUACCUAAUCAGAAAGCCACGGCUAACUACGUG
rnacentral:rRNA from 1 species